UACGGGGGGGGUAAGCGUUGUUCGGAAUUACUGGGCGUAAAGAGUGUGUAGGCGGUGCUCUAAGUCUGUCGUGAAAUCUCCCGGCUUAACUGGGAGGGUGCGGCGGAAACUGGUGUGCUCGAGGGUGGGAGAGGUAAGCGGAAUUCCUGGUGUAGCGGUGAAAUGCGUAGAUAUCAGGAGGAACACCUGCGGUGUAGACAGCUUACUGGACCACUUCUGACGCUGAGACACGAAAGCGUGGGUAGCAAACAGG
rnacentral:rRNA from 1 species